AACGGCCAUACCAUGCUGAAUAUACCGGUUCUCGUUAGAUCACCGAAGUCAAGCAUCAUUGGGCGCGUG